AGCGAACGCUGGCGGCAGGCCUAACACAUGCAAGUCGAACGAACUCUUCGGAGUUACUGGCGGUCAGGUGAGUAACACGUCGGACCGUUGCUGUAGACUCGGGAUACCACAUGGUAACUUGUGCUAAUACCGAAUGUCCCCUUCUGGGGAAAGAUUUAUCGCCUUUAGAGCGGCCCGCGUUUUUUUAGCUUGUUGGUGUGGUAAAGGCCCAUCAAGGCGUCGCUCAGUAGCUGGGCAGAGAGGAUGAUCAGCCACAUUGGGACUAGGACACGGUCCAAACUCCUACAGGAGGCAGGAAAGGGGAAUCUUGCGCAACGGGCGAAAGCCUGAAGCAGCCAUGCCGCGUGAAUGAUGAAGGUCUGAGGAUUGUAAAAUUCUUUCACCGCGGACGAUAAUGACGGUACCCGGAGAAGAAGCCCCGGCUAACUUCGUG
rnacentral:rRNA from 1 species